ACACCUUCACAUUGGGAGCUGCUGAGAAGGCCCUGAUGAUGUUGUUUACCGUGAGGUGAUCUUCAGAAGGUAGAGGAAAGCUGGUGAGACAACAGAGCAGUCAGCUGAUCCAGGUGUUGUGCAUUGAUUGAGAGCAGGAAGCUGAGGACACACUCGGUCUGAUGGACGACCUUCAUCCUUCACUCUGCUCCUCUUCUUCUCUUUGUGUCUCCUGAAACUCAGUUAUUUGAUUGUUCAUCAUGAAGAGCUGCACAAAACAUUUUAAACUUUUUAGGAUUUUCUGUUUCUAUGCAGAUAUGAUCUGAUGGAAAAUAUAAAAAAUAUAUAUCAAUAACAUUUAAACAAAUAAAUCAUUCAGUAAAAUGAGCCUCAGUCUCAGGAUGUUUUUAAUAAUUCAGUUACACACAGACAGUCAGUGACGGCUCCUCUCCUCAGCUUUCCUGCUGCCAUCAGAUGCUUGUUGUUGGAAAUCUCACUCCUCAUGCACUGGUAUGAUCAGCACUUGGUGACAGUAGGAAGGAAGAACUCCCUUUAACCUGAAGAAUGUUUUACUUUUAACAUCUUUCUGUAUGAUUGUCAGUGUUUUAUGUUACUGCAUGAUUGCUUUUCUUUCAUCUUUCAAGUCUCAUGUAUUGAAUAAAAUCCCCGAA
ensembl:lncRNA